rnacentral:rRNA from 1 species
AAUGGGCGCAAGCCUGAUCCAGCAAUGCCGCGUGGGUGAAGACGGCCUGCGGGUUGUAAAGCCCUUUAGGUGGGGAAGAACGAUGCCGGGUGAAUAGCCGGGUGUUAUGACAUUACCCACGGAAUAAGCACCGGCUAACUCCGUGCCAGCAGCCGCGGUAAUACGGAGGGUGCGAGCGUUAAUCGGAAUGACUGGGCGUAAAGCGUGCGUAGGUGGUGGUGUUAGUCAGCCGUGAAAGCCCUGGGCUUAACCUGGGAAUGGCGGUUGAAACGGCGCGACUUGAGUGGGUUAGAGGACUGUGGAACUCCUGGUGUAGCGGUGAAAUGCGUAGAGAUCAGGAAGAACACCGAUGGCGAAGGCAGCGGUCUGGGACCACACUGACACUGAGGCACGAAAGCGUGGGGAGCAAA